UACGGAGGGGGCAAGCGUUGUCCGGAUUUAUUAGGCGUAAAGAGCGUGUAGGCGGCUAGAUAGGUCCGUUGUGAAAACUCGAGGCUCAACCUCGAGACGUCGAUGGAAACCAUCUGGCUAGAGUCCGGAAGAGGAGAGUGGAAUUCCUGGUGUAGCGGUGAAAUGCGCAGAUAUCAGGAAGAACACCCGUGGCGAAGGCGGCUCUCUGGUACGUGACUGACGCUGAGACGCGAAAGCGUGGGGAGCAAACAGG
rnacentral:rRNA from 1 species